rnacentral:tRNA from 1 species
UAUAUUUUAGUGUAUGAAGCACAAAAGUUUUUGAUACUUUUAGAAAUAGUUUAAUUCUAUUGAAUAUAA